rnacentral:tRNA from 1 species
GGGACUAUAGUUAAUAAUAACAUUUGAGUUGCAUUCAAAAAGUACUAAAUAAAUAGUUAGCCUCA